UACGGAGGGAGCUAGCGUUGUUCGGAUAUACUGGGCGUAAAGCGCACGUAGCGGCGCCGUAAGUCAGGGGUGAAAUCCCGGAGCUCAACUCCGGAACUGCCCUUGAAACUGCAGUGCUAGAAUCUUGGAGAGGCGAGUGGAAUUCCGAGUGUAGAGGUGAAAUUCGUAGAUAUUCGGAAGAACACCAGUGGCGAAGGCGGCGACCUGGUCCUUGACUGACGCUG
rnacentral:rRNA from 1 species